GCGUGCUUGGUCAAUCUUUAAGCCUGUAAGUUCAUCUCUUACUUGAUAAGAUGUCAUUCUGUAAGAGAUCUUUAUGAAAUAAAGAGUUUCUUGAUCUUUAUUGUUUUCUUUUUUUUGUUUCACGGCCGCUAAAGAGUGUUUGUAGUUUUUUGCUGCAAGAAUAAUAUGAUUUCAAAAAUGAUUUGUAUUUGCUUGAUUUUCUUGCUGUAAGAUUAUUUUUAUUCAGUGAAUCAAGAUGACAUUUUUUCUGUUAACAGGGAAGAUACUUUUUGAUCUUAUUUCUUAUAUAAAGAACGUAUUCCUUUUGGUCGGCAAAUAGAUGCAAUGCUUACUAUAUUCAUAGUAACUGGCUUCCUGUUUUAGAAUUGCAAAUUUCUUACUUUUUUAAGGAAGGUCCUACUUUCGUCGGUCUUUUUUCUCUAAUUUUGCUGUACAGAAUUGUUCAUUUAUUUAUACUAAGUAUGUGAUUUUGGGCUUUGGUAUUGCUUCAAUCACCUUUUGAAAUAAAUUUUAGCUAUGCUAUUUGCAUUUAAAGUUCAUCUUUUCCUAGAGCUUUUUAAUGUAGUCCGAAAUCUUAAUUCGUUAUUAUUCGGACAUGUUUAUAUUUCAGUUUGGUAUGAGUUGCUGCGAAUAGUUGGAGCUUAAGAGUAAAAAAUAGGGAUUUAAUAAAUGGUGAUUGCAACUUUUAGUCACUUUGUUGUUAGUUUCAGUUUCCUGUUAGUUGUUUGGCCGUCUUUUUCUUUAUUGAUGGAUUUAACACUUUCUUUUAAAAUUUAAAGAUUUGGUAUAACACUAUAACAGGAGAGCAUUUCGAGCAGAGCAUAAUAAGACGUGUGUGUGUGUGUGUGUGUGUGUCUCAGGCAUUGAAAUUAAUAUUGUCAUAAAUCUUUGUUAUUUCUACUAUGCUUGUGCUUUGAAGAAAUUUAUCAAUUGUAUGCAGUGUUGGUUCUUGUUGACUGGAAAUAUUUGGAGCAAUUAGUGGUGAGUUAGUGAGUACGAUUGCAUAUUGAGACCCACUAUACAAAUAAGAAGACUUUUUCCAAUUUCUUUUAUUACUUUUUUUCUAGCGAAUGAUAUUGUUCGUACUAUAAAUCCUUACCCUAUUAUGACUUUAGUUUUAUUCUAAUGUAUGCCUAUAAAAUGAUAUUUUUUAGUUAUUAAGGUAUUUAGGCUUUAUUCUUACUGCACUCAGCUAUUUUUAUGGCCAUUUGAGAGCUCAUAUAACUUCAGAAACAAUUUUCUUUUUUAACAAAAUUUAGUAAAAGAACUUAUGCGAAUGUAUCCCAAGUGCAGAGAACUCAUACCAAUAUGUACUAAAAUGAUAGUGGUGUGCCGCUAGCAUGGAGGGGCGUGUCAGCUUUCGCAUCUCUUGUGCUACUGUGUCGUGUUGUGCUGUGCUGUCAGCAUGGUAAUUCUUGUAUCACGAAGGAAAAAUAAAUUUUCCGCCCUUUUACUUUUCCUUUAAAACAAUUACAGUCCAAAAACUUUUUCUUUCCUAGAAAUACCAAACAUCUGAGACACUAAAAUUUCUAUUUCAUUAAAACAAUUUUUCGUAGUCCAUAGUUUUUUGUGGAGCCAAAUAGCCUCCAGGGUAAAAGGAUUUUUCGCUUUCUUUCUAGUUUAAUUGUCUCUUUUAAUGUUAUUGGUCUUCAAGAUGGAUUCUUGGUAGUCAAUUAUUUUAUUAUAUUUUUGAUUAAAGCAAUUUAAUAUAUUUCUAUGUUUUCGUGUUUGGUCAAAUCUUUAAGCCUGUAAGUUCAUCUCAUACUUGAUAAGAUGCCAUUCUGUAAGAGAUCUUUAUGACAUAAAAAGGUUCUUGAUCUUUAUGGUUUCUUUUCGGUUCACGGUCGCUUAUGAGUGUUUGUAGUUUACUGCUGAAAGAAUAAUAUGAUUUCAAAAAUGAUUUGUAUUUGCUUGAUUUUUUUGCUGUAAGAUUAUUUUUAUUCAAUGAAUCAAGACGACAAUAUUUCGAUUAAUAGGGAAGUUACUUUUUGAUCUUAUUUCUUAUAUAAAGAACGUAUUACUUUUUGUUGGCAAAUAGAUGCAAUGCUUACUAUAUGCAUAGUAACUGGCUUCCUGCUUUAGAAUUGCAAACUUAUUACUUUUUUAAGGAAGGUCCUCUUUUCGUCGAUCUUUUUUCUCUAGUUCAGCUGUACUGAAUCGUUCGUUUAUUUAUACUAAGUAUGUGCUUUUGGGCUUUGGUACUGCUUCAAUCACCUUUUGAAAUAAAUUUUAGCUAUGCUAUUUGCAAUAAAGUUCAUCUUUUCCUGGAGCUUUUUAAUGUAGUCUGAAAUCUUAAUUCAUUAUUAUUUGGACGUGUUUAUAUUUCGGUUUGGUAUGAGUUGUUGUGAAUAGUUGGUGCUUAAGUGUGAAAAAUGGGGAUAUAAUAAAUGGUGAUUGCAACUUUUAGUCACUUUGUUGUCAGUUUCAGUUUCCUCUUAAUUGUUUGGUCAUCUUUUUCUGUAUUGAUGGUUUUGCCACUUUCUUUUAAAUAUUUGGUAUAACAGGAAGCAGAACGUAAUGAGAUUGCUGUGUGUGUGUAAGUUUGUCUCAAGCAUUGAAAUUUAUAUCUUUAUUAUUUCUACUAUGCUUGUGCUUUGAAGAAAUUUAUCAACUGCAUGCUGUGUUUAUCCUUGUUGACUGCAAAUAGUCGGGGCAAAUAGUGAUGAAUUAGUUCGAUUGCAUAUUGAGAUCAACUAUACAAAUAAGAAGACUUUUUUCCCAUUUCUUUUAUACUUUUUGUCUAGCGAAUGAUUUUGUUCGUACUAUAAAUCUUUACCCUAUUAUCACUUUAGUUUUGUUCUAAUAUAUGUAGUUUCAUAGUAUCUAUAAAAUGAUAUUUUCAGUUAUUAAGAUAUUUACACUCUAUUCUUACUGCACUUAGCUAUUUUUAUGGCCAUUAGAGAGAUCAAAUCACUUCAGAUACUAUUUUCUUUAUUAACAAAAUUUAGUAAAAGAACUUAUGCGACUGUGUGCCAAGUGCAGAGAACUCAUACCAGUGUGUACUAAAAUGAUAGUUGUGUACCGCUAGCAUGGAGGGGCGUGUUAGUAUUCGCAUGUCUUGUGCUACUGUGUCGUGUUGUGCUGUGCCAUUAGCAUGGUAAUCCUUGUAUCAUAAAGGAAGAAUAAAUUUUUAGUCCUUUUACUUUUCCGUUAAAACAAUUACGGUCCAAAAUCUUUUUCUUUCCUACAAAUACCAAACAUCUGAGACUGAAAUUUCUAUUUCACUGAAACAGUUUUUCGUAGACCUCAGUAUUUUGUGGUGCCAAACUGCCUCAAGGGUAAAAUGGUUUUUGCUUUACUUCUAGUCUAAUUUUGUCUUUUUUCAUGUUAUUGGUCUUCGAGAUGGAUUCUUGGUACUUGGUAGUCAAAUAUUUUUUUUAUGUUUUAGAUUAGAGCAAUUUAAUAUAUUUCUAAGUUUUCAUCUCUGGUCAAUUUUCAACCUGUAAGUUCAUCUCUUACUUGAUAAGAUGCCAUUCUGUAAGAGAUCUUUAUGAAAUAAAGAGGUUCUUGAUCUUUAUGUUUUUUUCUUUGGUUCAUGUUUGCUUACGUGUUUGUAGUUUACUGCUGCAAGAAUAAAAUGAUUUCAGAAAUGAUUUGUAUUUGCUUGAUUUUCUAGCUGUAAGAUUAUUUUCAUUCUUUUAAUCAAGAUGACAAUUUUUCUAUUAACAGGGAAGUUACUUUUUGAUUUUAUUUCGUAUAUGAAGAACAAAUUACUUUUGGUCAGUAAAUAGAUUUAAAAAGUACGAGAUGAGUUUUGGUUUCCUUCCCUCUAAAAAACAAAGAGAUUACAUUUGGAAGAUUUUGUUUCUAAACAGAAGAAAUUUCACCCUUUUAGAUACUUUUUCAGACCCAUUGCCGAUACUAAGUUGCAGUCAAAAACAGUUAUACCUCGUGAAAAAAGAUUUUUCCAGAGAUGGCUUACAACCAAUAGUUCAUUAUCUAAUGGAUCUUUCCGUUCUAAUACUCUAUCCGAGAGUUAUUAGUUGCUACGGUAAUACCGUUUAGUUGACCUAUGCUUGUUUGAACAGCUUCAGUUAAACUUGUCUUUCUUUGAUAAGAAUCGAUACGAUCUUUAUUAUUUCUGCUAUGCUUGUGCUUUAAACAAAUUUAUCAACUGUAUGCUGUGUUUAUCCUUCUUGACUGCAAAUAGUCGGAGCAAAUAGUGAUGAGUUAGUGAGUUUGAUUGUAUAUCGAGACCAACUAUACAAAUAAGAAGACUUUUUACCUUUUUUUUUUUUUACUCUUUGUGUAGCGAAUGAUAUUGUUCAUACUAUAAAUCCAUACCCUAUUAUGACUUUAGUUUUGUUCUAAUAUAUGUGGUUUCAUAAUAUCUAUAAAUUGAUCUUUUUUAGUUAUUAAGAAAUUUAGAUUCUAUUCUUACUGCACUCAGCUAUUUUUAUGGCCAUUAGAGAUCAAAUCUCUUUAGAAACUAUUUUCUUUUUUAAUGAAAUUUAGUAAGAGAGCUUGUGCGAAUGUGUGCCAAGUGCAGAGAACUCAUACCAAUGUGUACUAAAAUGAUAGUGGUGUGUCGCUAGCGUGGAGGGGCGUGUCACCAUUCGCAUGUCUUGUGCUGCUGUGUCGUGUUGUGCUGUGCCAUUAGCAUGGUAAUCCUUGUAUCACAAAGGAAAAAUAAAUUUUUUGUUCUUUUACUUUUCCUUUAAAACAAUUACGGUCCAAAACUUUUUCUUUCCUACAAAUACCAAAUAUCUGAGACUUUGAAAUUUCUAUUUCACUGAAACAAUUUUUCGCAGACCACAGUUUUUUGUGGAACCAAACGGCCUCCAGGGUAAAAGGAUAUUUUGCUUUCUUUCUAGUUUAAUUUUGUCUCUUUUCAUGUUAUUGGUCUUCGAGAUGGAUUCUUGGUAGUCAAUUAUUUUAUUAUGUUUUUGAUUAAAGCAAUUUAAUAUAUUUCUAAGUUUUUGUGUUUGGUCAAUCUUUAAGCCUGUAAGUUCAUCUCUUACUUGAUAAGAUGCCAUUCUGUGAGAGAUCUUUAUGACAUAAAGAGGUUCUUGAUCUUUAUGAUUUUUUUUUGUCUUCACGGUUGCUUACAAGUGUUUGUAGUUUUCUGCUGCAAGGAUAAUAUGAUUUCAUAAUGAUUUGUAUUUGCUUGAUUUUCUUGCUAUAAGAUUAUUUUUUAUUCUAUGAAUCAAGACGACAAUUUUUCUGUUAACAGGGAAGUUACUUUUUGAUCUUAUUUCUUAUAUGAAGAACGUAUUACUUUUGGUCGGUAAAUAGAUGCAAUGCUUACAUAAUGCGUAGUAACUGGCUUCCGGCUUUAGAAUUACAAACUUCUUACUUUCUUACGGAAGGUCCUCUUUUCGUCGACCUUUUUUCUCUAGUUCAGCUGUACAUAAUCGUUCGUUUAUUUAUACUAAGUUUGAGCUUUUGGGCUUUGGUAUUGCUUCAAUCACCUUUUGAAAUAAAUUUUAGCUAUGCUAUUUGCAGUUAAAGUUCAUCAUUAUCCGGAGCUUUUUAAUGUAGGCUGAAAUUUUAAUUCAUUAUUAUUUGGACGUGUUUAUAUUUCGGUUUGGUAUGAGUUGCUAUGAAUAGUUGGAGCUUAAGAGUAAAAAAUGGGGAUUUAAUAAAUGGUGAUUGCAACUUUUAGUCACUUUGUUGUCAGUUUCAGUUUCUUGUUAGUUGUUUGGUCACCUUUUUCUUUAUUGAUGGUUUUACCAAUUUAUUUGUAUGAAAGAUUUGGUAUAACUGGAAAGCAUUUCGAGCGGAGUGUAAUGAGAUUUGUGUGUGUGUGUGUGUGUGUGUGCGCGUGUGUCUCAAGCAUUGAAAUUAAUAUUGUUAUAUAUCUUUAUUAUUUCUGCUAUACUUGUGCUUUGAAGAAAUUUAUCAACUGUAUGCUGUGUUUAUCCUUAUUGGCUGCAAAUAGUCGGAGCAAAUAGUGAUGAGUUAGUGAGUUCGAUUGUAUAUUGUUCCCAUUUAUUUUAUUACAUUUUGUGUAGCGAAUGAUAUUGUUCGCACUAUAAAUCCUUACUCUAUUAUGACUUUAGUUUUGUUCUAAUAUAUGUAGUUUCAUAAUAUCUAUAAAUUGAUCUUUUUUAGUUAUUAAGAAAUUUAGACUCUAUUCUUACUGCACUUAGCUAUUUUUAUGGCCAUUAGAGAUCAAAUCUCUUUAGAAACUAUUUUCUUUUUUAAUGAAAUUUAGUAAAAGAAUUUAUGCGAAUGUGUGCCAAGUGCAAAGAACUCAUACCAAUGUGUACUAAAAUGAUAGUGGUGUGCCGCUAGCGUGGAGGGGCGUGUCAGCAUUCGCAUGUCUUGUGCUGCUGUGUCGUGUUGUGCUGUGCCAUUAGUAUGGUAAUCCUUGUAUCACAAAGGAAAAAUAAAUUUUUCGUUCUUUUACUUUUCCUUUAAAACAAUUACAGUCCAAAAACUUUUUUUUUUCCUAAAAAUACCAAACAUCUGAGACUCUGAAAUUUCUAUUUCUCUGAAACAAUUUUUCGCAGAACACAGUUUUUUGUGGAACCAAAUGGCCUCCAGGGUAAAGGAUUUUUUGCUUUCUUUCUAGUUUAAUUUUGUCUCCUUUCAUGUUAUUGGUCUACGAGAUGGAUUCUUGGUAGUCAAUUAUUUUAUUAUGUUUUUGAUUAAAGCAAUUUAAUAUAUUUCUAAGUUCUCAUGUUUGGUCAAUCUUUAAGCCUGUAAGUUCAUCUCUUGAUAAGAUGUCAUUUUGUGAGAGAUCUUUAUGACAUAAAGAGGUUCUUGAUCUUUAUGGUUUUUUUUGUGUUCACGGUCGCUUACGAGUGUUUGUAGUUUUCUGCUGCAAGAAUAAUAUGAUUUUAGAAAUGAUUUGUAUUUGCUUGAUUUUUGUGACGCCCUAACUUUCCAGGGGUCACCCAUCCUAGGACUACUCCCGUCCUAGCACACUUAACUCUCUUAACCUCUUGGACCUUACCACCACCCAAAAUAUUUAAGCCGGGUUAAGAGUUUUUAAUCCUAUUAUAUUUUAUAUAUAGGACUACAUGGGGUCUCACAAUCUCCCCUUUUAAGCCCUGACAUUCUCCUCAGGCUCAAACUCACAAGUACCAGGUGACAUUCUUGUUUAUUUAUACUAAGUUUGAGCUUUUGGGCUUUGGUAUUGCUUCAAUCACCUUUUGAAAUAAAUUUUAAAGUUCAUCUUUUCCUGGAGCUUUUUAAUGUAGUUUGAAAUUUUAAUUCAUUAUUAUUUGGACGUAUUUAUAUUUCGGUUUGGUAUGAGUUGCUGUGAAUAGUUGGAGCUUAAGAGUGAAAAAUAGGGACAAUAAAUAGUGAUUGCAACUUUAAAUCACUUUGUUGUCAGUUUUAGUUUCUGUUAGUUGUUUGGUCACCUUUUUUCUUUAUUGAUGGUUUUACCACUUUAUAUUAAAGAUUUGGUAUAACAGGAAAGCAUUUCGAGUAAUGAGAUUUGUGUGUGUGUGUGUGUUUGUCUCAAGCAUUGAAAUUAAUAUUGUUAUAUAUCAUUAUUAUUUUUGCUAUGCUUGUGCUUUGAAGAAAUUUAUCAACUGUAUGCUGUGUUUAUCCUUGUUGACCGCAAAUAGUCAGAGCAAAUAGUGAUGAGUUAGUUCGAUUGUAUAUUGAGACCAACUAUACAAAUAAGAAGACUUUUUCCCAUUUCUUUUAUUUCUUUUUGUGUAGCGAAUGAUAUUGUUCGUACUAUAAAUCCUUACUCUAUUAUGACUUUAGUUUUGUUCUAAUAUGUAGUUUCAUAAUAUCUAUAAAUUGAUCUUUUUUAGUUAUUAAGAUAUGUUGACUCUAUUCUUACUGCACUCAGCUAUUUUUAUGGCCAUUAGAGAUCAAAUCUCUUUAGAAACUAUUUUCUUUUUUAAUAAAAUUUUGUAAAAGAACUUAUGCAAAUGUGCGCCAAGUGCAGAGAACUCAUACCAAUGUGUACUAAAAUGACAGUGGUGUGUCGCUAGCGUGGAGGGACGUGUCAGCAUUCGCAUGUCUUGUGCUGUCGUGUCGUGUUGUGCUGUGCCAUUGGCAUGGUAAUCCUUGUAUCACAAAGGUUAAAUAAAUUUUUCGUUGUUUUACUUUUCCUUUAAAACAAUUACGGUCGAAAAAAUUUUUCUUUCCGACAUACCAAACAUCUGAGACUCUGAAAUUUCUAUUUCACUGAAACAAUUUUUCGCAGACCACAGUUUUUUUUGUAGCCAAACAGCCUCCAGGGUAAAAGGAUUUUUCGCUUUCCUUCUAGUUUAAUUUUGUCUCGUUUCUUGUUAUUGGACUUUCAGAUGGAUUCUUGGUAGUCAAUUAUUUUAUUAUGUUUUUGAUUAAAGCAAUUUAAUAUAUUUCUAAGUUUUCUUGUUUGGUCAAUCUUUAAGCCUGUAAGUUUUUCUCUUACUUGAUAAUAUGCCAUUCUGUGAGGCAUCUUUCUGAC
rnacentral:lncRNA from 1 species